AACGAACGCUGGCGGCAUGCCUAACACAUGCAAGUCGAACGAGACCUUCGGGUCUAGUGGCGCACGGGUGCGUAACGCGUGGGAACCUGCCCUUAGGUUCGGAAUAACUCCCCGAAAGGGGUGCUAAUACCGGAUAAUGUUUUCGGACCAAAGAUUUAUCGCCUUUGGAUGGGCCCGCGUUGGAUUAGCUAGUUGGUAGGGUAAAAGCCUACCAAGGCGACGAUCCAUAGCUGGUCUGAGAGGAUGAUCAGCCUCACUGGGACUGAGACACGGCCCAGACUCCUACGGGAGGCAGCAGUGGGGAAUAUUGGACAAUGGGCGAAAGCCUGAUCCAGCAAUGCCGCGUGAGUGAUGAAGGCCUUAGGGUUGUAAAGCUCUUUUACCCGGGAUGAUAAUGACAGUACCGGGAGAAUAAGCUCCGGCUAACUCCGUG
rnacentral:rRNA from 1 species